CGGCGCUUCGGCCUGGGCCGGAUGGGUGAAGCCGCGAAUCGCCUCGAUCAGGCUGUCGGCCGGUUUGAUCGGUUGUUCGGCACGGGCGGCGUCGA
rnacentral:tRNA from 1 species